UACGGGGGGGGCAAGCGUUGUUCGGAAUUACUGGGCGUAAAGGGCUCGUAGGUGGCCAACUAAGUCAGACGUGAAAUCCCUCGGCUUAGCCGGGGAACUGCGUCUGAUACUGGAUGGCUUGAGUUCGGGAGAGGGAUGCGGAAUUCCAGGUGUAGCGGUGAAAUGCGUAGAUAUCUGGAGGAAUACCGGUGGCGAAGGCGGCAUCCUGGACCGGCAUUGACGCUGAGGAGCGAAAGCCAGGGGAGCAAACGGG
rnacentral:rRNA from 1 species